ensembl:lncRNA
UGGAAGGCCAGGGUUUGUGACAGCUUUUACUGACCUCUUGUAUCUAAACACACACAGGGACACACACACACAGCCACACACAUACCCCCCACAUGCGUGUGCGUACACACACAUACCCCUUGUAUCUUCUAUUCUUAAUGUCAACAAUGGCAUAUCUCUCUGCCUUUGAACCAGGAAAUAAAUCCCAGUCCAAAGAGAAUUUGGACAGAUGUCUUACAGAAAGGUUAAGCGCAAAGAGUUUUUGUUCUGUACGUACUUAUUUGUGACAAUCUAAACUCUUUGCCCAUUUGCUACAGUUUGAAUGUUUGUCCUUGAGGAUUCAUGUGAUGAAAACUUACUCACCAAGGUCAUAAGUUAAAGAUAUUUGGAGGUGGGGCCUUUGGGAAGUGUUGGGGUUUUGGUCUAGAAUGCUGCCCCAAAAGAUCAUGUGAUCAGAGGUGGGCUUUUGGAAGGCUGUUACAUCAUAGGGGUUCUGUGCUUAUCAGUGGAUUAACCUCAUGGGUUCCGAGCAAAGUGUCCUGUUAGGAGUUGGGGCCUGGACCAAAAAAGUGGGUCACUGGGGGAGUGAGCUGGAUGGGUGUGUCUUUCUCUGGCUCCUCCUUUUGCUCUCUGCUCCCUGGCUGUUGUUAUGUGAUGAGCAGCUUUACUCUGCCAGACACUUCCCCCUUGCCCUAUCUGCCUUGGAUCCAGCUGACUGUAGAUUGAGUCCUCUAAAAAUCAUGAGUCAAAAUAAACCUCUCUUCUUCAACUUGUGGGUGUUGGAUAUUGUGUUUAGCGAUGGAGAAGUGACUAAGAUGGGAGGUAAUUAGUAUUAAUGAAGUUAUGAGGAUGUGGCUUCCCAGACUCUAAAAUUGUGAUCAAAAGAAGUUGUUCUUUGUAAGUUAUUUGGUCUCAAUAGCAACAGAAAAUAGACUAAGACACCAUCGCCAUCUCUUCUGUUGUAAAUGGUGCUGCUGAUCCACUAGACAGCUCUCUAAAUUCAGGAUUCAUGGACUCCACAACCUAUUCUGUUCUUGAUUCAGACCUGAGCAGAAGACCACAGGCCAGUGGAGAAAUGACUGUUAGCGGUUCCACUUCCUUUGCUGCUGCUGGGGGGUCAAGCCAGAAAGGAGGAGACUGAAGUCUGUAUCUGAUAUGGUUCAUUGUUCCACAGUCUGAAUGAAGCACAGUGCUGUGUCAAUACUUAGAAAAAUCAUCCUGUUAUGAUUUUGGAUGCAUUUCUGAAGGAAAACAAGUACAAUGUUAUUGCAGAAAAUGUUAGCAAUAGUAUUGCUGUGAGAAUCUCCUUGAAAAGGCAAGGAAUCCUAAAAGCCUUCAUUCCCAUGGAUCCAGACUUCCAACCCCAGAUUUGGUGAUCUGUUAGGAGAACUCACCAGGCACAGAUGUAAUUGUGUUCAUGGUUAAAGUUUAUUACAACCAAAAGAUGGAAAGCCAGGUCAUCAAAGGGAACUUCUUAUGGUUUGGAUUUCAGAAGUCCCUGGUGCUAAACUCCUGAUCGCCAGAGGAUGGGUUUUGGGGGAAAUUGAAUGGCUCUUGAGGACUCUAACUUCAUUCAGCACUUCUUCAGGUGCUAUGAAUUUGUUCCUGCUCUGUUUUUAUGCCUUUUCACAUAUUUGUUAAUACAACAAAAUGCUUUCUAAUUUCUCUUUAGACAGUUUCUUUUCUUUUUUUUUUUUUUUGGUACCGGGGAUCAAACUCAGGUCCUUGCGGUUGCGCAGCAGGCAGCGAAAUCACUGAGCUAAAUCCCCGGCCCCAUUAGACAGUUUCUUUGAACUUUGAAUUAUUUAGAGGUUUGUUUCCCAGUCCUCUUUCUGCAACUGAUAUCUAAUCAAAUUUUAUUGUAGUCAUAUAACUUCAUUUGUGUGACUUGAAUCCUCUUAAGUUUGUGACUUGUUUUUAUGGCCCAGAAUAUGGAAUAUGUUCUACCUAGGCAAGUUUUCCUCUUAUUUUUGUAAAUACUGUACAUUCUGCUUGGCUUUUAAUGGUGUGUUAUGUAACUGUUAAUUAAAGAAUUUAAGUAUUCUAUAUCUUUUCUGAUUAUCUAAUUAUUUUAUCAGUUAUUAAGAGGAAAACAUUGAAAUCUUUCACUGUAUUUGUAAAUUUACCUAUUUUUCCUUACAGUUCUAUAAGUUAUUGUUUUGUGAAUUUUGAAACUAUCAGCUGCAUAAAUGCCUAGGAUUUUUAUGUUGUCUUGAUAAAUUUACCUCAUUAUCAUUAUAUAAUGAUAAUUUUUGUUCUUAGUGGUAUUAUUUUCUCUACAAAUUUUUGGUCUGGUGUUAAUGUAGCCUCUAUAACAUUCUUUAGAUUAGUACCAUUUUGGUAUUUGUUUUCUUGUGUUUUAAAGUUUUACUUAUUGCAUCUUUAUAUUUAAAGUACAUUUUGUGAAGGCAGUAUCUACCUGAGUAUUGCUGACUUAUCCAAUCUGACAAGUCUGUUUUUUAAUUCAGAUAUUUAAACCAUUUAAAUUUCAUGUCAUUGUUGCCAUAAUUAAGCUUUAUGUGUGUCAUUUUCCUAUUUGUUUUCUGUUUACCACAAAUGGGCACAUUCACUUUUAUCUCUUUUUCUGCCUUCAUUUUGCAUUGAUUGAAUUUUGUGUGAUUCUCUUUCAUCUCCUUCUUUGGAUUGAGAGAGAUAGGGAGUUGUUUUGUGGCUGUUUGAUGGCAUAUCUUUAACUUAUCACAGUCUGCCUCAACUGAUGUCAUACUUCAUGCAUUGUAUCGAGGAGUUUAAGACAGUAUAUGUCUGAUUAAUUAUACGUUUAUUUUAUGUUAUUGUCUUACAUUUUACUUUUAUAGUUAUUAUAAACCCCAUUCUACAGUAAUAUUUUUGUUUAAAUGAUUUUCUUUUAAUGACAUUUAAAUAAUUUUUAAAAAUCUCUUACAUAUUUUCCCAUUUUGUUACAAUUUCUGAUGAUCUUCAUUCCUUGAUGUACUUACUGUCCUUUUUCUUCACCCAAUGGGCUUCCUUUAACAUUUUUCACAAUGAUUUUUCACCAAUUAUCACUGGUGAUAGAUUUCUAAUGUUGGAUGCCUGGAAAAGUCUUUAUUUUCCUUUAAUUCUCAAAGACUAUUUUUUGAUGGGUGUAAAAUUCUAAAUGCACAGCUUACUUUUCUUUCAGUACAUAAAAGAUGUUAUUUUACUGUCUUUUCAUUUUCAUUGUUCUGAACUGGACACCUACUGCCUUUACAGAAAAGUCUUUAUUCCACUCUGCACAAUAACUGAUUCAGUUUGCUUUUAGCAUUUUAUCUUUAUUACUGAUUUAGAGUAACAUGACAAUGAUUUGUCUUGGUGUAGUGUUCUUCAUAUUUCUCCUGAUUGUGGUUCAUUGAGGUUCUGUGAUUUGUUAAGUUUACUGUUUCCAUCAAAUUUGGACAGAUUCUAUUAUUUCUCCAGACAGAUGUUCUCUCCCCUCUUCCUUUGGUUGCUCCAAUUACACAUGUGUUAGUCCUCUUGAAAUUAUCCCACAGUUUACUGAUUGUUCUUUACAUUAAAAAUUUCCCUGUUUAUGUUUCAUUUUGAAUAGGUUCUAGUGUACCACCUUCCAAGUUUACUGAUCUUUUCUUCUGUAAUGUCUAAUCUGCUGUUAAUACUACUCUGAAUACAUUUCAUCUAAAACUUGAUAGAUUUUUUUUUCUUUUCUAGUUUGAUUUUUGUGUUUUUAAAAAAACCUCCAUGUCUCUUUUUAACUCUUUCAACAUUUGGUAUACACUAAAAAUAACUAAAUGUUCUUGUUUGUUAAUUCUAACACCUGUGUCAGUUAUUGGCUGGUUUCAAAUAAUUUCUCUCAUAUAGCUUGGGUUUCUUUCUAUUUUUUCAUAUGCCAGAUAAUUUUUGGUUUGAUGCAGUCAUGAAUUUUAGUUUUUUGGAUUUUGGAUAUUUUCCUGUCAUAUUUAUAUAGCUGUGACUGAGAUUUCUUGGGGUGAUAAUUUGAAAUGACUUGUUUAUUUUUGGCCUUGCUUUUUAAAAAAUUGUAACUGGAACAUAAUAAUUGUACAAAUUUAUAUAUAUAUGCUUUGAUAUAUAUAUAUCUGAUAGUGAUCAAAUCAGGACAGUUAGUAUGUCUGUCAUGUCAAAUAUUUAUCAUUUCCUUGUGGUGAAGCAUACAAGAUAUUCUUUUAGCUGUUUUGAAAUAUGCACCAUGUUAAUAUUUAAAAGUAUUUUAGGGAGAAAAGUUCUUGCUAAGUCCCUAAGUUGCCCAAGUGCAUCCUCUUGCCUCAGUUUCCUAGAAUUCUGGGAUUACAUGCAUGCAUCACCACACCCAGUACCUUGUUAUUAUUAAUUGUAAUUAUCCUACUGUGCAAUAGAUUGCCACAACUUACUCCUGUUUAAAUGUAAUUAGGGGUUGUUUUUAAGAUUUGUGAGAGAAGAUCAUAGCAAUGCUUGGUCUGGGACAGUGGUGGUGAAACUUUUAGAGAUCCAGUGCCCAAACUGUAACCCAAAACCCACUUAUUUAUUGCAAAGUGCCAACACUGCAAUUAAACUUGAAUACCGUAUGUUCAGCUGCUGGAGCAACUUGGCUGGAGAGCCAGCAGAGAGGGUUCUGCGUGUCUAACUGUGCCAUGCGUGUCAGAUUUGCCACCCCUAGUCUAGAAUUAAUCAUUCCCCUUUGCUGAUGCAAAAGGGAUCCAAUGUUCUUGAAGUUUUUCAGGUUGCAGAUAGGAACAUUAACUUUCUGCAUCCUCCUCUAAAGCACAGCACUUGUUUAGAGUCAUUCUUUUUCCAGUCCUUAAGUAGUUUUCUCACAAGCCUUUGCUAAAUGAUGACUACUCUAUAGUGACUACCUGAAGACCUCCAGGGUUCUGUCCCUGCAUAGCUCUUUCCUUUCUAUUACUCCACUUUGCAAAGUCUUUCUACUGUGGGCUCUUGGCAAAGCCUAUCUACUGUGGGCUCCCUAGACUCUUAGUGCAGUACCCUCAGUGCAGAGAGGAAUUAGAUUUCCCUACCCUGCACUGUGGCUCAGAAACUCUGUCUAGAAAAUAUGCUGGGACAAUUUGGGGCCGUUCAGUGUAUUUUCCAUUCUUCAAAGAUCUCUGGUCUUCCUUUCUAGAAGUCCAAUAUCUUGUCAUUCUUGUCUAUAUUUUUGUUGUUCCGGGUGGAAAGAUAAAUCUGGUCUCAGUUAUUCCAUCUUCACUGGAGGCCAAAUUAAUUGCAUUCAGAAAUGUUUGAUUAUUUCCAAACUUUAGUUUGGCCUGCAGCAAUGUUAACAACAAUUUGUAGAUAUUCUAACUGUGAAUUAUUCAUCAGAAGUUCCUUUUUGAAAACAAGACAUGGAUGUUUGCUUAUGCAUGCUUACUAAGGGUGGAGCGAGACCCAGGACCUGCACACAGUGAAUCUGUAUAUUUAAGAGAUGAUCAGAGGAAGUUUAGUGAGUGUAGUUAGUAGGUGCGAGAUGGCAGUUAAGAUGCAAAUGGGUCAUGCAGUGAAUUAAAAUGCAAGGGUAAAAGAGGAGAUUGCUGCUUAGAGCCUCUGCUCUUUGAUAUAUAAAAUCUUCCUGGAGCUCAUUUUAGUAGUUCCAAAGAGCCUAGGUAGUCUAAUGAAAUCCAGUGAGUUAGAGUAUUGUUUAUUAAUUUUGCAUCUGUAUGUGCUGGGAAGAUAUUAAGAACUUUGGAAUUUCAGUAAAUGUUGACCCUUAGUUUGUAUCCUUUAUGAGAAUCUGCACUUCUUCGAAUAUGCAGCAUAGCCAGCCUUUCAAGCAGAGAAGGGGUCAUGGUUGAAAGUCCAGGCUUUCAUGGCCAGUACUGCUGAGCAUGAAUUAUGCCUCUGGCAUUUAUUAACAAUGGGGUGGAAGGUAAGAUGUUUUAUCUCCCUCAUCCUCAAUUUACUUUGUAUAAUGAAAAUCACCACACCUAAAUUGUGGCGGGCAUUAAAUAAAUACAAUGCAAAAGUGCAUCCAGUAUAGCUAGACAUUAUUCUGUAAUGUGUUUGUAUUAAUCAGGAAUCUCCAGAGAAAGGAAGUCAGUAAAGUUUGUGUGUCACAUGUGAUGACACAGCCUGGCAGGUCCCAAGUCUGCAGAUAGGCUGAAAGUCUGAAGACUAGGAAGAUCCAAUAUCACAGUUGAAGUCUAACAGGCUGAAGGAUUCCUUCUAGCUUGGGCUAGGUCAUCCUUUUGUUUCCUUUGGUUUUCACCUGAUUGAGUGAGGUCCAUUCUCACAAUGAAGGUCAGUCUGUGUAACUCCAAGUCUACUUAUUUAAAUAUUAAUUCAUCCAAAAGCACACUCAUAGACACAUCCAGAGUGUUUGACUGAGUACCUGGGCACCAUGGCACAACCAAGUUAAUACAGGAAGUUAACAAUCCCAGUUUGUGUUCUGUAGUUCACUUAGUUCCCUUGUCAAUCCUUUGGAGGAGGUACUGUUUCCUCCAAUUUGCAGUGAGAAAACUAGGCUAAAGAAGGUGAAAUAACUAUACAAUACUGAAAUUUGAACUCAGAUUUGCCUGUCUGUGAAGACCAGACCUUUAAGAGCUCCAUUAAGAUGCAGCAUAGUUCGUCUUAAACAGUAGGUGCUCAGUUAAGGCUUUUGCAGUUUGGCAUGCUGGUUUCAAUCCAUCUAUCCCUGGCUGAGCCAUGAACAACUGGAUGCAGCUUGGUCCAAGUCUUGUUGGACUUGUGUGCUCAAUGUUGACUGAGGUGUGUGGUGCACAGCAGUUGUUUAGUAAAUUGAAGUCUGACUGCAGUUGGAACUACUCUUUCAACCCUCUCACCGCGUCAAUUAGUAUUUUUUCUUAAUGGUGAAUUUGUAUAAAGUGCCAGGAUGUGAAUAGACAGCAAAGCUAGAUCUGGCCUGGAUCUUGUCCUCAAAAUUCUGGUUUUACAUUGGAGGUGAGAAAUUCAUUCAUUUGUUCGUUCGUUCAUUCAUUCAUUCAUCCAUUCAGUAUGCAUUUAUUUUCUGCUCUGUGCCAGGCAUAAGAUAAGAUUAGGUGCUAAGUCAUGUCUAUAGUGGCACAGUUUGUAAUAGCUAAAUCUUGGAAACAACCGAAAUGCCCAACAACUGGUGACUGGAUAAAUAUGUUUUUUUUUUUUUUUUUAAAUAAAACAGAGUACUACUCAGCCAUAAAGAAUGAUAAACUAGAGACAUUUAUAGCUAAAUGGAUGCACAUUGAGGCCACACUCUUAAGUGAAAUAAAUAGUACACACAUGGGUAAAUACUGAAUUGUCUCUCUGCUGUGAGAAACUGAAAGUGUAAAAGAGGACCAAAAUGUAUAACAGAUAAUGUGAAAUAGGAAGCAAAGGUUCAAAGGGGAAGGGAAAGUAGGGGGGAGGAGAAAGAAAAGAAGGGAAAGAAAAAAACAUGGG